UACGUAAGUGGCGAGCGUUAUCCGGAAUUACUGGGCGUAAAGCGUGCGUAGGCGGUUUCUUAAGUCUGAUGUGAAAGCCCACGGCUCAACCGUGGAGGGUCAUUGGAAACUGGGGAACUUGAGUGCAGAAGAGAAAAGCGGAAUUCCACGUGUAGCGGUGAAAUGCGUAGAGAUGUGGAGGAACACCAGUGGCGAAGGCGGCUUUUUGGUCUGUAACUGACGCUGAGGCGCGAAAGCGUGGGGAGCAAACAGG
rnacentral:rRNA from 1 species